rnacentral:rRNA from 1 species
UACAGAGGUGGCAAGCGUUGUUCGGAAUUACUGGGCGUAAAGGGCGCGUAGGCGGUCUUUUAAGUCUUGUGUGAAAUCCCUCGGCUCAACUGAGGAACUGCACGGGAUACUGGAAGACUUGAGUUCGGGAGAGGGAAGCGGAAUUCCGGGUGUAGCGGUGAAAUGCGUAGAUAUCCGGAGGAACACCGGUGGCGAAGGCGGCUCUCUGGGACGGUACUGACGCUGAGACGCGAAAGCGUGGGGAGCGAACAGG